rnacentral:rRNA from 1 species
GAGUGAUGGGCUCCGCAGCUAACGCGAUAAAUCGACCGCCUGGGGAGUACGGCCGCAAGGUUAAAACUCAAAUGAAUUGACGGGGGCCCGCACAAGCGGUGGAGCAUGUGGUUUAAUUCGAUGCAACGCGAAGAACCUUACCUGGUCUUGACAUCCAUAGAAUUCUGCAGAGAUGUGGGAGUGCCUUCGGGAACUAUGAGACAGGUGCUGCAUAGCUGUCGUCAGCUCGUGUUGUGAAAUGUUGGGUUAAGUCCCGCAACGAGCGCAACCCUUAUUCUUUGUUGCCAGCGAUUUGGUCGGGAACUCAAAGGAGACUGCCGUUGAUAAAGCGGAGGAAGGUGGGGAUGACGUCAAGUCAUCAUGGCCCUUACGACCAGGGCUACACACGUGCUACAAUGGCGUAUACAAAGGGAAGCGAAGGUGCGAGCUGGAGCGGAUCUCAUAAAGUACGUCUAAGUUCGGAUUGGAGUCUGCAACUCGACUCCAUGAAGUCGGAAUCGCUAGUAAUCGUAGAUCAGAAUGCUACGGUGAAUACGUUCCCGGGCCUUGUACACACCGCCCGUCACACCAUGGGAGUGGGUUGCACCAGAAGUAGAUAGCUUAACCGCGAGGGGGGCGUUUACCACGGUGUGAUUCAUGACUGGGGUGAAGUCGUAACAAGGUAACCA